rnacentral:rRNA from 1 species
AGAGUUUGAUCCUGGCCCAGGAUGAACGCUAGCUACAGGCUUAACACAUGCAAGUCGAGGGGAAACGACAUCGAAAGCUUGCUUUUGAUGGGCGUCGACCGGCGCACGGGUGAGUAACGCGUAUCCAACCUGCCCAUCACUUGGGGAUAACCUUGCGAAAGUAAGACUAAUACCCAAUGACGUCUCUAGAAGACAUCUGAAAGAGAUUAAAGAUUUAUCGGUGAUGGAUGGGGAUGCGUCUGAUUAGCUUGUUGGCGGGUAACGGCCACCAAGGCGACGAUCGAGUAGGGGUUCUGAGAGGAAGGUCCCCCANAUUGGAACUGAGACACGGUCCAAACUCCUACGGGAGGCCA